rnacentral:rRNA from 1 species
UACGGGGGGGGCAAGCGUUGUUCGGAAUUACUGGGCGUAAAGGGCUCGUAGGCGGCCAACUAAGUCAGACGUGAAAUCCCUCGGCUUAACCGGGGAACUGCGUCUGAUACUGGAUGGCUUGAGUGUGGGAGAGGGAUGCGGAAUUCCAGGUGUAGCGGUGAAAUGCGUAGAUAUCUGGAGGAACACCGGUGGCGAGGGCGGCAUCCUGGACCAUAACUGACGCUGAGUGAGCGAAAGCAAGGGAGCAAACGGG